UCAUUCCUACGGGAGGCAGCAGUGAGGAAUAUUGGUCAAUGGACGAGAGUCUGAACCAGCCAAGUAGCGUGAAGGAUGACUGCCCUAUGGGUUGUAAACUUCUUUUAUAUGGGAAUAAAACAGGGUAUGCAUACCCUCUUGUAUGUACCAUAUGAAUAAGGAUCGGCUAACUCCGUGCCAGCAGCCGCGGUAAUACGGAGGAUCCGAGCGUUAUCCGGAUUUAUUGGGUUUAAAGGGUGCGUAGGUGGUUAAUUAAGUCAGCGGUGAAAGUUUGUGGCUCAACCAUAAAAUUGCCGUUGAAACUG
rnacentral:rRNA from 1 species